GAGUUUGAUCCUGGCUCAGAACGAACGCUGGCGGCGUGCUUAAUACAUGCAAGUCGAACGUGAUUCCCGACUUCGGUUGGGAUGAAAGUGGCGAACGGGUGAGUAACACGUAAGUAAUCUGCCUUCAAGUUUGGGAUAACCCUGCCAACGCGGGGCUAAUACCGGAUGUGGUCCAGCAGACCCAUGUUUGCGGGAUUAAAGGUCGCGAGACCGCUUGGAGAUGAGCUUGCGGCCCAUUAGCUAGUUGGUGAGGUAACGGCCCACCAAGGCAGGGAUGGGUAGCCGGCCUGAGAGGGUGUACGGCCACAUUGGGACUGAGAUACGGCCCAGACUCCUACGGGAGGCAGCAGUAGGGAAUUUUGCGCAAUGGACGGAAGUCUGACGCAGCAACGCCGCGUGAAGGAUGAAGGCCUUCGGGUUGUAAACUUCCGUUGGAUGGGAAAAAAAGCCUUUUAAGAGGAAUUGAUGGUACCAUUCGAGUAAGCACCGGCUAACUACGUGCCAGCAGCCGCGGUAAUACGUAGGGUGCGAGCGUUGUUCGGAAUCACUGGGCGUAAAGGGAGCGUAGGCGGAACUGUAAGUUAGAAGUUUAAUACAUGGGCUCAACCCGUGGUCUGCUUUUAAUACUGCGGUUCUUGAGUAUGGGAGAGGGCGAUGGAAUUCCAGGUGUAGCGGUGGAAUGCGUAGAUAUCUGGAAGAACACCAGUAGCGAAGGCGGUCGCCUGGCCCAAUACUGACGCUGAGGCUCGAAAGCUGGGGGAGCAAACAGGAUUAGGUACCCUGGUAGUCCCAGCCG
rnacentral:rRNA from 1 species